rnacentral:rRNA from 1 species
UACGAAGGGGGGCUAGCGUUGUUCGGAAUUACUGGGCGUAAAGCGUAUGCAGGCGGACUACUAAGUCAGGGGUGAAAUCCCGGGGCUCAACCCCGGAACUGCCUUUGAUACUGGUAGUCUCGAGUCCGGAAGAGGUGAGUGGAAUUCCGAGUGUAGAGGUGAAAUUCGUAGAUAUUCGGAAGAACACCAGUGGCGAAGGCGACUUACUGGACGAUUGUUGACGCUGAGGUGCGAAAGCGUGGGGAGCAAACAGG